UACGAAGGGGGCUAGCGUUGCUCGGAAUUACUGGGCGUAAAGGGCGCGUAGGCGGAUAUCUAAGUCGGGGGUGAAAGCCCAGGGCUCAACCCUGGAAUUGCCUUCGAUACUGGAUAUCUUGAGUACGGGAGAGGUGAGUGGAACUCCGAGUGUAGAGGUGAAAUUCGUAGAUAUUCGGAAGAACACCAGUGGCGAAGGCGACUCACUGGCCCGUUACUGACGCUGAGGCGCGAAAGCGUGGGGAGCAAACAGGG
rnacentral:rRNA from 1 species